UACGGGGGGGGCAAGCGUUGUUCGGAAUUACUGGGCGUAAAGGGCUCGUAGGCGGCCAACUCAGUCGGACGUGAAAUCCCUCGGCUUAACCGGGGAACUGCGUCCGAUACUGGAUGGCUUGAGUGUGGGAGAGGGAUGCGGAAUUCCAGGUGUAGCGGUGAAAUGCGUAGAUAUUGGGAGGAACACCGGUGGCGAAGGCGGCCCCCUGGACCGGUACUGACGCUGAGGCGCGAAAGCGUGGGUAGCAAACGGG
rnacentral:rRNA from 1 species